UACCUAGUGAACCCUGCUGGAGAGUGGAGGAUGAUUACACUCAGAAUUAGACUUAGCGAGGGCACUGAAAGCCAGAAGAGAGAAACUGACACAAUUAUAUAAGUCAAGCAGCCCGUAUUUGAUUGGUUAAAAGUGAGGGAUGCAGCUUUCUCCGGGCUAGCCAGUGAAUUUCACAUGGAGCCAGUGAAGUUCCUGGAGGACAGAGGUGAUGUGUUGGUGGUGUCAAGACACUGGAUCUGUGACCCAGCAUUUUGAGUUUAUUUCGUAUGUCUGAUUUCUUGUGAUGUAUUAGGAUAAUGGUAAGUUCUAGUGUUAUUAUUACUGUGUCUUCAUUAGGUUUUGUUUAACGUUUCAUCCAUGCUCCCUUGUUUAUGUAUCCUUUUGUUUCCUGUGUAAGUCUCUUGUCCCCUACGUAUGAUUUUUAGUUAUGUCUGUCCCUCGUUCCCCUUAUUUGUUUCCAUGUUCCUCUCCUUGUGUAUCAUUCCGUAUCCCCAGUCUGUUUUGUGUUUCAUGUCUUCGUUUUCCAUGUCAUAUUGUCCAUCUCGUGUUGUCAUAGUCUUCCUCUCAUUAUGUUUCCUGUUUUAUUUUGACAGUCUCGUGUUUCUGUGUUCAGUGUGUUUUGCUUUCUCUGUGGCACUAUGUUCGUUUGUGUCUGCUGUGUUCCCCAUGUGUUUCCACUUCGCUCAUUAACGUUCUGUGUAUUUAAGUUCUCUGUCUUGCUUUGUUUGGUGUCCGGUUGUCUGACACUGCCUUUUAUUUUGUACCUUUUCCCAGCCACAAACAAAGGCUCGCCCUUUGUUAUAGUUUUGUUCCAAGUGUCUGCAUUUGGGUCCUCCUCCUCCCUCCACACGGUCUGCCUGUGCAAACCAUGACAGGUGGGAGGGGGUUCUGGUAAUAAUGCCGGCAACUGUUUUGAACCAGUUGAAGCUUAUGGAAAAGAGAGUUACAGUAGUCAAUGCAGGAGGUAACAAAGCUAUGAACAAGAAUGGAAGCAAACUGGAUUGAAAGACAAGGACAUAAACGUUUAAUGUUGCACAGAUAGAAAUAGGCAGAACGGGUGAGAUCAUUAAUGUGAGAUUUAUAGGACAGUGAGCUGUCAAAGAUGACACCAAGGCUCUUAACUGAGGUGAAGGGAAAACCUUGGAGUUGUCAAUAGUGAGAGUGAAAUGAUUUGCCUUCAGUAAGUUGGAUUUUAGAAGGGUUUCACUUUUAUCGUCACUGAGCUUAAGAAAAUUAGAGCUGAACCAGGAUUUUAAUUCGGAUAAGCAUUCUGUAAGAGAAGAAGGUGGAAGGGAGGAAUCAGGCAUGCAGGAGAGAGAUAACUGAGUGUCAUCAGGAAAACAAAUGAACAGCAAAUGAACAUGGAAAUAUCAGAUAUAUCAGGAACAUGAAAGGUGGAAAAGGGCUCAAACUGGAGAAGAGGUUCUGAAGAGGGGGUAGACACAACAUUCGAACUGAGCUGCUGGUGAAUGUUAUUAAUUUUCCUAUAGAAGAACAGCAUCAAGGAGUUACAGGUUUCAGAUGAAUAGAAGUGUGGUGGUAAAGUGUCAGGGGGAUGAAGUGUAAGUAAUGUGAUUACUUAAAACCCAUUGCUGUUUCUUGAAACUCUAGUUAUAUCUGCACCAAGGAUUUGGUAAGAACUGGUUGGCUGUAUCAUCCAAACAUUUACAGAGAGACUGUCUUUUUAAAAUAAUUCUUAUCUUUAGCAAGUUUAGUACAAGUACAGACAGAUACAGCUUAGAUAAUUGUAUUAAUUUAAACUUUCUUUAUGUUUUAUAAUGAUUCAUGCACAGGUGUAGUUCACAUCCUUGCAGGUUCAGCUGAGCUGUGUCUGCUGGCCAGCUGAGUCCUUUCUUUGCAGAGCUUGCAUUUUCCUCCCUGUGCCUGCAUGGACUGUCUCCAGGCUCCUAUAGUCCAAAUACAUGCAUGUAAGACUAAUCUUAAGGUCAUGUCACCUCAGCUUCAGCAGCACAGCUUGGAUGAGAAUGAUUCCUGAAAAUCAUCCCUGCAAAAAAGUUAAACACAGAAAUGUUUGAUAUAUAUAUUGAAUGUGCAGAGUGUCAGAGCUAUUUGUGUGCAAGGGUUGAUUAAUUAUUGAUAUGAACAGGUGACACACUAGCCUCAAAGCGACUUAUUGAAACGUGCAAAUAUACUUGGCAAUACAGUAUAUAAAGCAAAAACAGAGUUUCUGUAGUUCUAUCAAGCUUGAAAGUCUAUAUCUGGUAUGACCUCCUCCAUUCUUUACCACAGCCUGAACUCUCUUACUCAAGUUUUCGUGUCAUUUCUUUAAGUCUUCAGGAAAAGUUUUACAGGCUUCUUGAAGGACAUUCAAAGCUCUUCUUUGGAUGUUGGCUGCCUUUUGUUCUGUUCUUUGUCAAGAUGAUCCCACACUGCUUCAAUAAUGUUGAGGUUCAGGCUCUAGGGACGCUGACUGGGUUCCAUUCUAUUUUUUAAAAAGCCAGGUAUGGUUUUACUGCACUGGUGGUGUGUUUGGGAUCACUGUCGUACUGAAAAAAUAGAUUGUUGCUUCUCAGACAUAUUCUGGGUGGUACUGCAUGCUGGCUCAAGCUCUAAUGCUACUUUUUUGUCUCCAUAAUUCCAUUAAUUUUGAAGAUAACAGUGGCUGAAAUGCAGCUGCAUCAUGUUUUACAGAUGGCUGUAAACACUCAAUGUCGUAAAUCUGUACUAAUGACAGUUUCAACCAAAAAUUUCAAACUUGGAUUCAUCACACCGUUAGACUUGUUGCUGCUGAUUUUCAGCCCUGGCCUUGUGUUAUUUGGCAUCCUUCAGGCUUUUCUCCCCAUUUCAUUUCCUCAAGAGUGGCUUCUUGACAACCACUCUUUGGGACCAUUUCUGAUGAGGCUUCAAUGAACGUUACACGGAUAAACUGAAGGGCCAGAUUCAUCUCUCAGGUUCUGUUUCAGGUAUUUUCUUGAUUUUUUCCCCCCUAUUUCUUAAGGACAUGACAUUCAGACACUGUAUGGUGUCUGAUAUGUUUUUAAGUCAGCCACUUUUUAUUAUCCAAUAUCUUAUCCAGUAUCCUCAGACUUUUUAAGAACAAACACUAUGCCAUGAUAUGCCAAGUUUAUGGCAAAUAGUUCUUUUGUAAUCACUUUAUUGGUUCAAAAAUACUAUUUUAUGCAUUUUAUGGCAUCAAACAGUUAUUUUUCAGUUGAAUCUGUUGGUUCAGCUGUUAAAAUUAUGUAUUUUGUGACAGGCUGCUAGUAGCAGUGCUGAAAUAUUCAAUUUAAAAUAGGUUCUUUGGUAAGUUAUCUGCUAUUUGUAGACAGCUCUUCCUUUGAGUUAAGUGUCUUCUUAUACUUGAGUGAUUCAUAGGUCAGCGGUAAGUGGCUUAACAAAAAAAGGAGAGCUAUUGUUAAAGACCACUUCAACAACGGUAAUAAAAAAAGUAAGCUGUGGCUCAAGACUUUUGCACAGCACUAUACCUGCAAUGAAUUUUAAGAAUCAGCUGUGAUAACAUUAAAAGAGCAAAGUGGCAGAUUUUUCAUUAAACAUAUGAAGUUAUAUGCAUCCUAAACUAACGUGGAAACAUUCAUGUUGUAUCACCUAAACCUCAGUUGGUCAUGAGCUGAGUGACCAACACUCCAAUGUUCUUGUUGAGAUAAAAACAGAACGGCCCUAUAAGUAGAAGUUAUACCACCUACAGAAAAGACUGGGUUUCUUUGUCUAGUUUUUGUGUGGCUGUGUGGCUUGUGUUAGGUAUGAUGCUUGAUGAUGCUGGCUAAUCAUCUAAAAUAUUUCCAUCUAAAUCUAUAUACUUCUACAGAAUCUUUGUAAAACUCAUCCUAGGUACCACUUUUCUGUAAUUAUUCAUUUUCACCAGCAGAUGGCAAUGUCGUAUCAAACAAUUCCUGUUCAUACAGGGUAACACUGUCAGAAAUAAAGAUAUUUCAUUCACUCUAUA